rnacentral:rRNA from 1 species
GACGAACGCUGGCGGCGUGCUUAACACAUGCAAGUCGAACGGAAAGGCCCUGCUUUUGUGGGGUGCUCGAGUGGCGAACGGGUGAGUAACACGUGAGUAACCUGCCCUUGACUUUGGGAUAACUUCAGGAAACUGGGGCUAAUACCGGAUAGGAGCUCCUGCUGCAUGGUGGGGGUUGGAAAGUUUCGGCGGUUGGGGAUGGACUCGCGGCUUAUCAGCUUGUUGGUGGGGUAGUGGCUUACCAAGGCUUUGACGGGUAGCCGGCCUGAGAGGGUGACCGGCCACAUUGGGACUGAGAUACGGCCCAGACUCCUACGGGAGGCAGCAGUGGGGAAUAUUGCACAAUGGGCGGAAGCCUGGUGCAGCAACGCCGCGUGCGGGAUGACGGCCUUCGGGUUGUAAACCGCUUUCGCCUGUGACGAAGCGUGAGUGACGGUAAUGGGUAAAGAAGCACCGGCUAACUACGUG